GGAAUUGAAUAAGUCCAACCCCUGAUCAUAUCAGGGACCAAACCAUCUCGAUGAUUAGGUCAACUCUUAACCUAAUCGGGUCAAACCCAACUGAAUCCAAUUUAAUUAGACUUGAUCCAAAAAUAAUUACUCAAUCAAAUUGAGUUAAUUAGUGAUCAAAUCACUAAUUAAAUCUCUCAUAAAUAUUGAGUCCAAAUUCGAUGGGUAAUCGGGCAUCAGAAUUCAUCGAUAUGUAACCCUGAUCGAAGAGUCCUAAACCAGUGGGACUCUUGACCCCGGUACCCAAAAUGUGUGGAAUUCAUGAUUAGAGAAUCCUGAUUCUCGAUCACAGAAUCUCAGACAUGAAAGACUCUUCAUCAGCUAUCAGAUCAGAUAGAAACCUCUAAUGUGUGUGACCCUGCAGGUUCGAACCUAAGCUGGUAGCACAGGAACCAAUUCCUGUACUAAUCGAAGUGACCAUCUAGCAAUGG
rnacentral:lncRNA from 1 species